rfam:Myotis lucifugus cont2.53860, whole genome shotgun sequence.
GCCCGUGUGGCUCAGUGGCUGAGCAUCAACCUGUGAACCGGGAGGUCAGGGUUCCAUUCCCUGUCAGGGCA